rnacentral:rRNA from 1 species
AGUGAACGCUGGCGGUAGGCCUAACACAUGCAAGUCGAACGGCAGCACAGGAGAGCUUGCUCUCUGGGUGGCGAGUGGCGGACGGGUGAGGAAUACAUCGGAAUCUACUCUGUCGUGGGGGAUAACGUAGGGAAACUUACGCUAAUACCGCAUACGACCUACGGGUGAAAGCAGGGGACCUUCGGGCCUUGCGCGAUUGAAUGAGCCGAUGUCGGAUUAGCUAGUUGGCGGGGUAAAGGCCCACCAAGGCGACGAUCAGUAGCUGGUCUGGGAGGAUGAUCAGCCUCACUGGAACGGAGACACGGUCCAGACUCCUACGGGAGGCAGCAGUGGGGAAUAUUGGACAAUGGGCGCAAGCCUGAUCCAGCCAUACCGCGUGGGUGAAGAAGGCCUUCGGGUUGUAAAGCCCUUUUGUUGGGAAAGAAAUCCAGCUGGCUAAUACCCGGUUGGGAUGACGGUACCCAAAGAAUAAGCACCGGCUAACUUCGUGCCAGCCGCCGCCGUAA